CUCCUCUUCCCCUUAAGCAGCAUUCUUUCUUUCUUUUUUCUUUUCUAGGCAAGUAGAAAAAGGGGAAAUAAGCAAAUGCAUGGAUUUGAAUAGGUAGGCAAGGUUCUUUGAGUAGAUGUGAUAUAUUUUAUUAAACCAAUUGAGUAGUAGGAAAAAAAAGUUCUUAACAAGCUUUUGGGCACAAUCACCCUUCUUCAGGCUUAGGGAAUGUAGAUAGUUACAGGACUGUUAAAAACUGGAGAUGUCAAAUGAACCAAAUGCUGUUGGAGGCACAGGUGCAGGUGGUUAGUAAAUGGGAACCUCAGGCAUGGGAUUAAAAAAAACAACACAGCUGGGUAGAAGGCAAAAUUCACUGACAAAAGCUUGCAGGAGGGAUGCUGCAUACAGGGCCUUGGACUGACCCUUAACAUCAGAAAAACAAAGGUGUUUCACCAGCCUGCUCUGGGCCAAUCAAUUCCCUCAGCAAAGAUCUUCACUGACGGACAGGAGCUCGAGACAUCCAUCUCUCAGAGAAGACCAACAUUGACAAGGAGAUCCAGGGUAGGAUCUGAUGUGCCAGCUCUUCAUUUGGAAGACUGUAUCAUUAUGUGUUCAAUGAUCACAACAUCAGGACUCAAACAAAGUUCCUAUUAUAUAAGGUUGUGGUAACCCCAACUCUCCUCGACAGCUGUGAAACUUGGGUGACCUACAGGAACCACCUGAAGAGCCUGGAACACCUUCACCACUGCUGUCCAACUAUCAGAGGAGUGAGGGGUAGCAAUGACAUCUGCAUCACUCGAGCUAUGCUAGGAGCUGACAAUUGCUGGACCUAUCACUGACUCAACCACUCAAUUUUUGUUACUUAAACUGGCUUCCAAAUGAUAGCUGUAGCAGGAGCAAUGCUAAUGGAAGGUCAGCAUUCAAGAAUUCAAGGACCCAAUCAAAUGUCAGCAGUGCUUGGGAUGCUUUCAAGUCCACUGUCCUCAGUGACUGUGAAGAGACAUUGGAUUCUCUACCAGGAAACACCAAGAGACUGGCUUGAUGAAAAUGACCAGGAGAUCCAAGAGUUGAUUAACCUCAAAGACAAGGACUUUUGUGUUUGUCAGAGCAACAUCAACUCCAAGCAAAAGAAACUGAAUCGUCAACAAGCCAAGGCAGAGGUCCAAAAAGGACCACACCAUGAAGAAUAGAUGGGAAGACAAGGUGAAGGAGAUUCAAUACCUCGCUGAUAUCCAUGAUUAUGUGUAGCUUUUUCAAUGUCACCAAAGCCAUCUACUGUCCGAGCACUUGGGGACCAGCCCACUUGAAACCUAAGGAUGGAGGAGAUCUGUCAAGGGAAGGGUGGCCAUCAACGCCCAUUGAAAGAAUCAUUUUGAAUAUGCAGUCAACAUUCUUAGUCAAGACUCUGUUGAUCAGUGUUCUCAACUCCAUUCUGAAACACUCAAUCUGAGAUGAUUUUGAUGAGAUGAGAAAAGCCAUCAAGCAGGUAAGGGAUGGCAAGGGAUCUGAAGCUGAUGGAAUACCUGCCAAAAUUUUCAAGCAGGCAGGAAAGGAGCUCACAUAGCUUCAUACCUUCAUCUUAAGGAUCUGGAAUGAUGAGGAAAUUGUGGGGACACCAUGAUCAUGACAAUCUUCAACAAAGGGGACAUAUCCAACUGUGGAAAUUACAGAGGGAUUGCUUUGCUGUUCAUCACAGGAAAGAUCAUUGCAAGAACUGUCCUGAACCAUCUUCUUCCACCUACUCAAGAACUUCUCCCAUAAUCUCAGUGUAGGUUUAGGACACCAAGAGGCACAACUGACAUGAUCUUUAUGGCUUGCCAGCUGCAAGAAAAAUGAUAGGAACAACAUAAACCUCUCUCUAUCGCCUUCUUUGAGCUUGUGAAAGGGGCUUUUCUGUCAACCGAGAAGCACUGUGAAAGAUUCUUCUGAGGUAUAAAUGCCCACUGAAAUUCAUCACCAUUCUUUGCCUGCUCCAUGGGGGUAGUUCAGUGGUGGUUCUCAAUAACAAAUCUAUCCCAGAUCUCUUUGAGGUUAACUCUGGAUUUAAGCAAGGCUGUGUCAUCACUCCAUCAUGUCUCAAUGUCUUACGUCUGACCACCAACAAGCUUCCAGUCACAGUGGAGCCAUUCCAGUCACAAUGGUAAACUGUUUAAUCUCAGCUGACACCAAGACCACCCAACCUAGAGCACUGAGUUCCAGUACACUGAUGAUGCUAUAGUGUAUGCUCACUUGGAACAGACAUUCAGGUAAUUGUCGACACCUUUACCGAGGCAUAUAAGAAAAUGGGACUGCCAUUUAAUAUUCAGAAGACUAAUGCCUUCCAUCAACAUGCUCGUAAUGAGCAGUCCCCAGUUCUUGUAAUUCGGAUUCAUGGUGAGACUCUGGGGAACACUGAGUAUUUUCUGUACCUCAGUAACCAUCUUACAAACAGCUGACAUUGAUGAAGAAAUCCAAUAUUGCCUCAAAUGUGCAAGUGCAGACUGAGAAAACUGGUGUUUGAAGAUUGUGGCAUCAGAUUUGAAACCAUGGUCAUAGUUUAUCAAGCAGUUUUGAACUCUACCUUACAUUGUCCAUGUCUCAGCUCCAUAUAGCAUAAGAUACACCUCAAGCCACUAGAGAAGUCAAUGCUGCAUGCAGAAGAUCCUUCAAGUCUAGUGGGAAGACAGAUGCACCAGCAUUAGCAUCUUCUCACAAACAAACACCAUGAGCAUUAAGGCAAUGAUCAUCUGAUUUCAACUUAGCUGGGCUAGUUAUGUCAUCUAGAUGUCCAACUCUAGACUACUAAAGUAAGUUUUAUUCUCACCGAUUAGUCAAGGUGUACACCCAAGAGGAGGGCAGAGAAACUACUUCAAGGACGUCCUCCAGGCCAACUUGAAAAAUUCAACAUUGACAUCAACUUGUGGGAGACUCUUCCUCCAUUUUAGAUGGUCUUGGCCAAUAGUCUGCUGCAAGGAUCUCAGUACUUUGAAACCUCAGAAUGACAACAGGAGAGGGAAAAGCAGGAGUUGCAGACCAAAUCAAGAAUCCAGAGCCAUCCACCCUGGUCAGAAACACAUACCCGAGGUUGCAGUAGAACCUGUCAAUCCCAGAUCGCCCUUGUUAGCUAUCUUUGGAGGACAAUCAGCCUCGACUACGAAGGAUUUUGGAUGAUGAAUGUUUAAUGUUAGUGAUCCCACUUAACUCUCCAAAUACACUUGGAAUAUGUGUAUGCUUACUUGCUUGUCAAAUUUGGAAUGUUGAUCUGUAUGAAAUGUUGAAAUUUCAGUAUUUGGGUUCCUCCUGAAUUAAGACAAAAAAAGGUGAAAUUUUGGAAGUCUCUUUUUUCAGCAAAAUGAAAUAUUCCAAAAAAUAUUUUUGAUUGUAUUGAAACUUGUUUUUCGUUAAAAUGGUACACUUCAUUUCCAUUGUAUCAUUUAAACUUUGUAAUAUAAAAGUCAAACAGAACUA